rnacentral:rRNA from 1 species
GAUGAACGCUGGCGGCGUGCCUAAUACAUGCAAGUCGAGCGAACAGAUAAGGAGCUUGCUCCUUUGACGUUAGCGGCGGACGGGUGAGUAACACGUGGGUAACCUACCUAUAAGACUGGAAUAACUCCGGGAAACCGGGGCUAAUGCCGGAUAACAUGUUGAACCGCAUGGUUCUACAGUGAAAGGCGGCUUUGCUGUCACUUAUAGAUGGACCCGCGCCGUAUUAGCUAGUUGGUGAGGUAACGGCUCACCAAGGCAACGAUACGUAGCCGACCUGAGAGGGUGAUCGGCCACACUGGAACUGAGACACGGUCCAGACUCCUACGGGAGGCAGCAGUAGGGAAUCUUCCGCAAUGGGCGAAAGCCUGACGGAGCAACGCCGCGUGAGUGAUGAAGGUCUUCGGAUCGUAAAACUCUGUUAUUAGGGAAGAACAAAUGCGUAAGUAACUGUGCGCGUCUUGACGGUACCUAAUCAGAAAGCCACGGCUAACUAAGUG